UACAGAGGGGGCAAGCGUUGUUCGGAAUUACUGGGCGUAAAGGGCGCGUAGGCGGCCCGCUAAGUCGAACGUGAAAUCCCCGAGCUCAACUCGGGAACUGCGUCCGAUACUGGCGGGCUUGAAUCCGGGAGAGGGAUGCGGAAUUCCAGGUGUAGCGGUGAAAUGCGUAGAUAUCGGGAGGAACACCAGUGGCGAAGGCGACUUCCUGGCCUGUUCUUGACGCUGAGGCGCGAAAGCUAGGGGAGCAAACGGG
rnacentral:rRNA from 1 species